UGCUCUCAGGGAGAUCCUGGAGAAACUGCUCUCUGUCUCACUGCUGUUUCUCUCCUCUUCCUUUGACAGACACUCUGAACAGAGAGAAGACUGCUGCAUCUGGAAAGAAGGGUAAGGGGUCCAAUGAAGAUCAAGAAAAAGACUCAUCCUCUUCACCUGCUAACCGUACAAGACUUGUUUCAAAAUUCACCGUCACCAUGCCUACUGGUAGAUCUGGAAAAACAUCUCCUUGGUACAGCCCCAGAGUGUACAGACCAUAGAAAGGCACUGUGUUUGACUAAAUGGUGUAAACUUUCAGAAUAAUUUCAUGCAGGAGCGUCCUGUUUCUUAAAGAACAAAGUCGUUCAAUGCCAAUCACUGACCACUUUAUUAGGAUCACAGAAUAUUCGUCUCAAGUAAGUCGGGAUCGCUUGACGCACAGGGCAAGAUGGCUGUCUUUCACUUUUACACUAAUACAUCGAAUUCACCCUCCUGGAAAGUACGCAGCUUGGACUGUCCUGACAAGCCUGCUAGCAGCCCCGAUGUCCUUGUGCGGAAAGAUAAUGGAUGUUGUAGUGAUGUGAUAUUUCAGCUGCACAUUAAACGGAUUGACUUGCUCCUACAAAUGCAACAACAGUUCUGAUUAUAUUAGAUGUUUCAUCUCUGACGCUUUCACUGAGCUGCAUGGCAACGAUCGACAAUGAUCCACAUAUUUGCUGACCAUUUAAAGUAAAGGCUACAUGUGCUGUAAACUCUUAAAAAACUUUUCAUAUGCAUUGGAAUUGUUUCUUAUGUUUAUGGUUACUUUCGUUGGUAAAUGUAAAACAAUACAGGAUUAAAGGUAACAUCUAGGAUGGGGUGGCAAGUCCAUAUUUAGGGGUGUCCACCCCUCCUCCGGCUACACCCCUGUGACAGGGGUACGCUGUACCCCAGCUGAGGGGUGGCGAGACCAGACCUUGAGAAAUACAGUCAGACAAACACAUUGUGAUCAAGGGGUGUCCUAGAGCAGUGGAAAUCUCUACGGCGUUAUUAGUGGCUCUGUGACAUGGUUCCUGUUGACCCAACACUGCACACUGUUCCAGCGACAGAAACGUUUCUAAAGGAAAAAACCUCAGUCAAGGACUGACUCAGCAUCUACAGUAUGUGCACAGUCUGGGUGGUGUUGGACUGCUGUGUCUUGUGAGAUUGUGCAGCCUGUUUUAUCACCUGGGUCACUAGGAGAGUGAUAAAGGGACUUGUUCUAAUCUUUAAUAAAACCGCCAUGUUUUAACAAAUUCAGAAUAGCACUUCUUUACGUGUGACGUAUGUACACUGCAACACAAGUCCUGAUUAAAAGUAAAAUAUCGGUGCUUCUAUCACAGUGCAAGAUAAAAUAAAAGAUUCUGCCUGGAGCGCUUUGGAAGUGUUUUUAAACUGUUUUGUCUGUGUAUUUUAACACCUCUUAACGUGUAAAAAUGUAUUUACAUGCCUGAGAAGUACAGACUACAAUCCUGUUGUUUUUGUAAGUUAUAAAUUGUUAUUCUUCUUAAGAAUGCACAGAAUGCACACUGUUCUUUUUAAAAUCUGCACGUGUUCACAUACAAUCAGAUCAGAUUAGCUACUAGCAGUUGAACCAUAUACAGUUU